rnacentral:rRNA from 1 species
CUCCAGACUCCUACGGGAGGCAGCAGUGAGGAAUAUUGGUCAAUGGGCUUACGCCUGAACCAGCCAAGUCGCGUGAGGGAAGAAUGUCCUAUGGAUUGUAAACCUCUUUUGUCAGGGAGCAAAGUCACCCACGUGUGGGUGUUGGAGAGUACCUGAAGAAAAAGCAUCGGCUAACUCCGUGCCGGCAGCCGCGGUAAUACGGAGGAUGCGAGCGUUAUCCGGAUUUAUUGGGUUUAAAGGGUGCGCAGGCGGUCUGUUAAGUCAGCGGUCAAAGCCCGGGGCUCAACCCCGGCCUGCCGUCGGAACUGGGUGCCUUGAGUGGGCGAGAAGUAUGCGGAAUGCGUGGUGUAGCGGUGAAAUGCAUAGAUAUCACGCAGAACCCCGAUUGCGAAGGCAGCAUACCGGCGCCCUACUGACGCUGAGGCACGAAAGUGCGGGUAUCGAACAGGAUUAGAUACCCUAGUAC